UGGGCUUGACAUGCUUGGAUUAUCCCGAUGAAAGUCGGGUAGGCCCCGCAAGGGGUACAACAAGUACAGGUGCUGCAUGGCUGUCGUCAGCUCGUGUCGUGAGAUGUCGGGUUAAGUCCCUUAACGAGCGAAACCUUUACCCUUAGUUACCAGCGGGUUAUGCCGGGGACUCUAGGGGGACCGCCGGUGUCAAACCGGAGGAAGGUGGAGAUGACGUCAAGUCCUCAUGGCCUUUAUGCCCAGGGCCACACACGUGCUACAAUGGCGUCGAUAAAGCGACCCUAAACCGCGAGGUCAUGGAAAUCGCAAAAAUGACGCCCCAGUUCAGAUCGGAGGCUGCAACUCGCCUCCGUGAAGUUGGAAUCGCUAGUAAUCGCGGAUCAGCUACGCCGCGGUGAAUGUGUUCCUGAGCC
rnacentral:rRNA from 1 species